GUUUAGGGGUAAACCUGAAAAACCCGAAAGGUCGAAGGGAGAAAUUCAUUCGCGUUUCGACGUAGGUAUGAGACGGGGUUGAGUGACGAAAAUGUGUUCGCAUAAUUUUUGCACCCCCUGUUUUAUAUAACCGACGACGAACGCGUGCACUUUUCUCCUGGUAGGACGUCGCAAUCCGUUGGGUGUCGGUCUACGGUUCGCGGUGGAGCCCGUUCUGACAAAUCCAUUGAUGAGCGGACCCGUGUUAUUCCUGACCGACUCGCUCGACGGUAUACAAAUGGUAUAUGGCCGCUCAAUUUGAAGCUUUCGACUCGUGGCAAGCGCGCUCGAUGCGUCGGCGGUCGGACCUAGUGCCGAUCCUGACCUCUGGUGACUGUUGGCCACGAUGUUCUCGGAAAGAGCCGAUUACCGAUUUGCGACGCUAUAGCUUUGGGUACUUUCAGGACCCGUCUUGAAACACGGACCAAGGAGUCUAGCAUGUACGCAAGUCAUUGGGAAUCACUAAACCUAAAGGCGCAAUGAAAGUAAAGGUCUUCCUUGUGAGGACCUAGGGAAGAUGUGCGGUUAACCGUUAAAAGUUGCCGUGCCGCAUUCCCGGGGCGUCUCAUUCUCAUUGCGAGAAGAGGCGCACCAAGAGCGUACACGCUGGGACCCGAAAGAUGGUGAACUAUGCCUGGUCAGGACGAAGUCAGGGGAAACCCUGAUGGAGGUCCGUAGCGAUUCUGACGUGCAAAUCGAUCGUCGGAACUGGGUAUAGGGGCGAAAGACUAAUCGAACCAUC
rnacentral:rRNA from 1 species